rnacentral:rRNA from 1 species
AUUGAACGCUGGCGGCAUGCCUUACACAUGCAAGUCGAACGGCAGCACGGGUGCUUGCACCUGGUGGCGAGUGGCGAACGGGUGAGUAAUACAUCGGAACAUGUCCUGUAGUGGGGGAUAGCCCGGCGAAAGCCGGAUUAAUACCGCAUACGAUCUACGGAUGAAAGCGGGGGACCUUCGGGCCUCGCGCUAUAGGGUUGGCCGAUGGCUGAUUAGCUAGUUGGUGGGGUAAAGGCCUACCAAGGCGACGAUCAGUAGCUGGUCUGAGAGGACGACCAGCCACACGGGGACUGAGACACGGCCCAGACUCCUACGGGAGGCAGCAGUGGGGAAUUUUGGAAAAUGGGCGAAAGCCUGAUCCAGCAAUGCCGCGUGUGUGAAGAAGGCCUUCGGGUUGUAAAGCACUUUUGUCCGGAAAGAAAUCCUUGGCCCUAAUACGGUCGGGGGAUGACGGUACCGGAAGAAUAAGCACCGGCUAACUACGU